UGCGUAGGUGGUCAUGUGUGUCGGGUGUGAAAGCCCACGGCUCAACCGUGGAAUUGCACUCGAAACUGCAAGACUAGAGUACAGGAGGGGAGAGCGGAAUUCUUGGUGUAGCGGUGAAAUGCGUUGAUAUCAAGAAGAACACCGGUGGCGAAGGCGGCUCUCUGGAAUGUUACUGGCACUGAUGCACGAAAGCUGGGGGAGCGAACA
rnacentral:rRNA from 1 species